UCAAAAAGUCGGAAGUCUGACGCAGGCUUGCUUGUAGGAAGAUUUCUGACCUUGAGACUCGCAAGAAACAUGAGUAAGUAGCCAUUUUUUAAGAAAAAUGCGCGGAUUACGAAUGUUUUUGAGGAUUGGGAGAGUACGAAGUACGGAACAAUCCGGU
rnacentral:sRNA from 1 species